AGCCUGUGAUGAGCCUUUCUUUAUUUCUGACAUCUCCAAUGAAAGUGUUGCAUCAAAGCAAUGCUUGAUUAUUAUUUUUGUGGCUGAGGCUU